UUCAGAUUCAUUAUAUUCAGAGCCUUUUGGAGCAAAAACAGCCUCGCAGAAUCUAUGCUGCUGACCAUUACAUUCCAGCUACACUGAAGGCAAACCAGUGGGCACUAAUGGAGAAGACAGGUUUUAGCUUCAUCUGAAAAGCUGACCAGGGUGAUGUGUGCUGAGUCUGCAGCUGCUGCUGCUGUAAUUCCUGCCAUAACAGUCCUUAAACCUCAUAUUACAAGAGAGAACCACAGUAAUCUGAGGAUAAAGCCAAUGAAAAACUGUUCUAGAAGCAGUGGAAAGAUGUUUCGCUCUGGGUGAGAGUGAAUCACUAAAGACCACCACAAAAACAGAAAUAGCAACAGUCAGACAAUUUGAUAACUAUGUAGAAAAUAAUAUAAUCACAUUAAUACAGCGACUAGAAUAUUUCUCUCCAAUCCCACAGAGUGAACUAUCACUUAUUUCCUCUUCAAAAUCAACUUACGCACUAGAUCCCUUACCUGUCAACUCUCUCCAGCUUAGGCAUCACUGGAAUGGCUCUGCACUGGGUGGAAUCCUAUCUCUCAGACAGAUCCUUGAAGAUAUUGUGGAAGGGAGGUACUUCUGAAACUCAGCAACUCAUAACUGGGGCUCCUCAGGGCCUGAUGAUCCAUCUGUCUCUGCAUGAAUCUCUGCUCGCCUAUCUGACAUCUCAGACUUGCUGCAUAAUCCAGUUACACUUAAGUUUCAACUUACUGACUGAAGACUGGACAUUGUCCUUUAGGAUUUUCUGGUAGAGAGCAGAAUUCAUGUUUCUCUCAAUUAUUGCUAGAUGCCCAUGCCCUGAAGCAGCAAAGCAUCCCCACACCACAACACUUCCACCACAACACUUCCACCACCAUGCUUGACAGUAUGUAUGAUGUUCUUUUUGUGAAAUUCUGUGUUUGGUUUAUGCCAGAUGUAAUGGGACAGUCUUCCAAACAGUUCCACUUUGGAUUCAUCAAUCCAUAGAACAAAAUAAAGGUUUGCAGAUCAUCAAGAUGUAUUUUGUCAAAAUUCAAAUGAGGCUUAAUGUUUUUCCAGGUUAGCAGUGGUUUUCAUCUUGCCACUGUUCCAUAGAUGCCAUUUUUGCCCAGUGUCUUUCUGAUAGUGGAGUCAUGAACAGUGACCUUUAUUCAUGCAAGAGAGGCCUGUAUGUCCUGAUGUUGUCCUUGGCUCUUUUGUGACUUGCUGGAUGAGUUGUUGCUGUGCUUUUGGAAUUUUGGAAGGUCGGACAUUUCUGGGAAGGUUCACUACUUUGCCAAGUUUUUCCAUUUGGAGAUAAUGGCUCUCACUGUGGUUCUUUGGAGUCCCAGAGCCUUUGUAACCCUUCCCAGACAGAUGUAUUUCAGUCACCUUCUUCCUCAUCAUUUCUGGAAUUUCUUUUAAUUAGACCUUUUAACCAACUUCAUGCUGUUAAAAAGUUCGAUUUAAGUGUUGAUGUGAUUGAACAGGGUUUGCAAUAAUCAGGCCUGGUUGUGUCUAGUCCAGCUGUACCCCAUUAUGAAUGCAGUUUCAUAGAUUUGGAGAAUUAGUAACUACAGGGGCAAAUACAUUUUCACACAGGCCCAGUUGGUAUUGGAUAUCAUUUUUGCUUCAAUAAAUAACAUUAUAAUUUAAAAACUGUAUAUUGUGUUUACUCAGGUUGACUUUAUUUUAGAUAUUGUUUUUAUUUCUGAAACAAUUUAACAUGAGAUACUCACAAAAACAGAAGAAAUCAGAACUGUCAAUAAAACAAUUUAAAUUUCUAUUUUCUUUUGAUUCUUUGGGCAAACCAUACAAAUUUGCAUUUUGGACCAUUUCACCCACCCACCAAAAUAAAAACAAUCGGCACAAUAUGCAAAACCUAUUUUUGCUAACUAGGAUUUAUGUCCUAUCGUCACAAAACUGCUAUCAAAUUACUCAUUUUAGCACUGAGCUCUUUCCACAAAACUUGACGUGUAAGUUCCUCUAUACUCUCUGUAGUUGUUCAGUGUAACUUGACAAGAUCUGGCCUCUGGAAGUGAUACUUGUGGAGAGUGCUUGAACUUUGCAUAUUGCUGCAUGUAGGAUUUCAUUUUUUUAAAUUAAAAUACUUCCCUUGUAGUUCCCCUGUAUUAGUUUUGCGUUUCCUAGCAGGCAACACAAAUGUGUGUUAAACAGUAUUAAAACACAGCACAUCUAGAUACAGACUGAUAUUUGCAGCAGUGAAUCAAUUCCGGUUUAGACGGAUAUGGCUCAAGCUGUGGAUCAGCAAAAAUGUAGAAGAAAGCAUAUUAUUACUGCUGUGGGUUUAUUAAGCAGUAGCCUUGUGCAAUAUAGACCUUUUUUUUUUUUUUCUAGAAGAGUUUUUCAAAGAGUAGGAGAGGGUAUAAUAAUAUCAGCUGUGCAAUUGGGAACUGAUACUGCUGCUACUGGCCACAACUGCAAAAACUCAGCUGGAUGGUAGAUUUUAGGUGAUUCCACGGUAAUGAGCAGUAAAAAUUUUUUUACAUCUAAUUAACACCAUUAACAUAAUUUGCAAAGUAUUACAUUUGACACUUCAUUUUAAGGUCCAUCUUUUUGGAUAAAUAUUUGCACCAAAAGUUCUGUUUUUGACCAUAUUUACUCUAAUAACUCUUACUCUAAUAACUAACUAGUUAACUGAUUUUAAUUAACAUUAGACAAGUAUAUAUUUAAGUUGCACAUAAAGUGACUGAUAGAUUUUAUUAUGCAUUAUUGAACUCAAACUUUCUCUAUUUACUUUGACAGAAUUAGAAAGUACACCAAACAGCUUAACAAACAGCCUAUUACAUCUGAGAUGGGAGGAAGUGGGCAGAGGCCUCCAGGCUGUGUCAGUUAAUAUCAGAGAAUUCAGAACACCUGUGAAAAUCAUUCUAGUAUAACAUUUCAAUUUGCUCCUGUUUUAUUUAGGAGAAAAUGAUUGCUCUUUUGACAUAUUAUUAGGUUAUAACACAACUGUGAUGUUAAAUUAUGCAGCUAAGGAAAACAUGUAAAAGCUGGUAGGUCUUUUAAUACAAUAUCAAUCAAUGAGUAAGUAUCACUGGAUAUUGUGGCAAUGUAAUGUUUAUGGACAAUAAAAAUUGUUAUAUUGCACAAUCCUACUAAGCAGAGAUUAAUAAUUGUGUAAUACUUUCAUUAUUCACAUGCUUUAGAUUCUGUACAUAUUCUGUUUUGCCACAUUAUCAAAUUUUUCACAAGUGAUUAUGUAGGUUAUAAAUAGUAGAGCUUCUUGCUAAUUAUCCCAUGGCAUUAAAAAAAAAAAAAGCACUACCCUUCAUAGAGAUGUUUCAUUUCCCCACAUUUAUGAGUAUGCUGACAUACAUUCUUGAGAAUGAAAAGUCUUGUCUCACUGAUAUAUAACAUUACUUUAAUAUGGUGGUAGUAUAGACUAUAAUAGUCAAGACCUUCUGGUGUACAAUGAAUAGGCAAUGAUGCAUCAGAUACUGCCUGGGUAAAUAAGAACCCCCCCAUUAUCAUUUGAUUGGUGUUACAAUUAGAAAAUGUUGCAUGAAUAAAGUGAAAAUUAACAUUCUUCAAGGCAGCAGGGAGGCUAACAUUUCUUAUCAAGCACUCGGUAUCCCAAGUACAUCUUUCAUGAACAAACUAGGGGAUACUUCCUGCCAGAUCAGUCCAUAUGCAGACAACAAUGGACAAUCUAAACAUGAAAAAAAUAGGGUUUAUGUCACUCAAAUAAGUGG